rnacentral:miRNA from 12 species
CCAUGAAUGUUUGAGCAUGUGCU